rnacentral:lncRNA from 1 species
UUCAUAACUUGUAGGUUUUCAUUAAAAUUUUUAUAAGAAAUUUUAUUAAGUAUGACAAUUGAGUAAAAGACUUUACUCCACAACGUGUUAUAUAUAUAAAAGUUAUAUCAUUAAAAUGAGGUGUCAGCUUAGCUAAGAUGUCAAGUAACAUAGUAAUGCCUAAAAUGAAAGUAUAGUAAUGCCUAAAAUGAAAGUUUUUUAUAACAAAAAAUGAGAAUCAUAUAUAGUAUUAACUUCAUCAACAAUAACAUAACUUAUUUUUAAAU